UGAGCUCAAAUUUAAAAUCUGGCGGUUUCACCGUCCGAGUUGUAAUCUGGAGAAGUGUUUUCCGUGCUGGACCGUAUGUAAGUUUCCUGGAACGGAGCGUCAUAGAGGGUGAGAAUCCCGUCUUUGAUACGGACUACCAGUGCUCUGUGAUGCACUCUCGAAGAGUCGAGUUGUUUGGGAAUGCAGCUCAAAACGGGUGGUAAAUUCCAUCUAAAGCUAAAUAUUGGCGAGAGACCGAUAGCGAA
rnacentral:rRNA from 1 species